GACGAACGCUGGCGGCGUGCUUAACACAUGCAAGUCGAACGGAAAGGCCUUUUCGGAGGUACUCGAGUGGCGAACGGGUGAGUAACACGUGGGUGAUCUGCCCUGCACUCUGGGAUAAGCCUGGGAAACUGGGUCUAAUACCGGAUAGGACCGCACUUUAGUGUGUGUGGUGGAAAGUUUUUUCGGUGUAGGAUGAGCCCGCGGCCUAUCAGCUUGUUGGUGGGGUAAUGGCCUACCAAGGCGGCGACGGGUAGCCGGACUGAGAGGUUGGUCGGCCACAUUGGGACUGAGAGACGGCCCAGACGCCUACGGGAGGCAGCAGUGGGGAAUAUUGCACAAUGGGCGCAAGCCUGAUGCAGCGACGCCGCGUGGGGGAGGACGGCCUUCGGGUUGUAAACUCCUUUCGCCAGGGACGAAGCGUUUUGUGACGGUACCUGGAGAAGAAGCACCGGCUAACUACGUG
rnacentral:rRNA from 1 species